rnacentral:rRNA from 1 species
UUCUAUAAGUUAUAAUUAAUAGUAUAAUCUGCUCAAUGAUUCAAUUCAAUAGCCGCAAAUAUUUGUGCUAAGGUAGCAUAAUCAUUCGUUUUUUAAUUGAAAACUAGAACAAAAGAUUAAACAUUUUAAUUAAUCUUUUAAAUUUAAAGAUUUUAAAAUUUUUUCUAAAUAUAAAAAAAUAUUUAUAUAAAAGAAAGACGAUAAGACCCUAUUGAACUUAACUUUAGUUAAACUGGGGCAGUAAUUAAAUUAAUAUUUUUAAAAACCAAUUUAAAUCAAAGACCUAUUACUAAUAAUUAUAUAAUCAAGUUACCAUAGGGAUAACAGCGUAAUGAUUAUUAUAAGUUCUUAUUUAAUUAAAAGAUUGCGACCUCGAUGUUGAAUAAUAACCUUCACUUUGACGCAAAAGUUAUGUAAGGAAGUCUGUUCGACUUUUAAAUAAUUACA